rnacentral:rRNA from 1 species
UACGUAGGGGGCUAGCGUUGUCCGGAAUCAUUGAGCGUAAAGCGCGUGUAGGCGGUCCGGUAAGUCCGCUGUGAAAGUCGGGGGCUCAACCCUCGAAUGCCGGUGGAUACUGUCGGGCUAGAGUGCGGAAGAGGCGAGUGGAAUUCCUGGUGUAGCGGUGAAAUGCGCAGAUAUCAGGAGGAACACCAAUUGCGAAGGCAGCUCGCUGGGACGUAACUGACGCUGAGACGCGAAAGCGUGGGGAGCAAACAGG